rnacentral:lncRNA from 1 species
UGGAAAAGAACGUUAAUUUCUACCUUACAGAGUAUGCUUGUGGGUAGGUGACUAGUUUUAGGCAAACGUGACAACUUAUAAUUUAGGGGUCCACAGGGCGAUGAGACCAAAGUUUUAACGAAAAAGUGGAGUUCUGGAUCACUUUAUUAAUUGGUAGCGAUUUUGCGCACUUGCAGAGCCGACCGUCACUAUUCAUCUUCUUAUUUUAAAUUAUUAUUUGAAUGUUUAUCUGAUUUGGUUGGGAUAAUUAUGUAUUUUUAUGCAAGUUUAUGGACAUUAUGCUAUUUCAUGUAUACUUUCUUUUGUUUUUUCAUUCUAAUAAUACUUUUGGUGAGAUGGUAGAGGAGUGGUAGUGCAUUGAGGUGCCAACAUAGUUGGGAUGUCGAUGAAUUAUUAUGAUGCCAUGCUCUCCAUUUUUGGAAAAAAAAAUGUAUACUUUCAUAUUUUUUAACGAGUUUUAAUUUAUAUUUAUGUUUAUAAUUAUAUAAAAAAUAUCUCCCACAAUAAUUUAGAAUUUAUUAAAUUUGAUGAAUUAAAUAUGAUUUUUUUAUGCGCCA